AACGUAGGACGCAAGCGUUAUCCGGAAUUACUGGGCGUAAAGCGCGUGUAGGCGGCCCUGCAAGUCGGAUGUGAAAUCCCACGGCUCAACCGUGGAAGUGCAUUCGAAACUGCAGGGCUAGAGUCCUGGAGAGGAAGGUGGAAUGCUUGGUGUAGAGGUGAAAUUCGUAGAUAUCAAGCGGAACACCGGUGGCGAAGGCGGCCUUCUGGACAGAGACUGACGCUGAGACGCGAAAGCGUGGGGAGCAAACAGG
rnacentral:rRNA from 1 species